GUACCAUUUUUGCAUUUGAAUCCUACAGAUUUGAGAGGCCAGCGACAAAUAGAAGAAUCGCAGUAUCCCCCUAAACCUCUGCAUCUGAGAGUUGGAUCAUCGGUCCAAGUGAAACCUGUAAACAUGGAAGAUUUUCUAGGAAGAUCCAGAACCCGGCUGUUUAGAUGCACCCCGCUGUGCUAUCCAGCGCUGUUACCACUGCUGCAAUGUGUCACCUCUUCUGAGGUCAGAACAAGGCACCCGACCAUGUGCUCAACUUCAGAUCGAGCGACUUGUGCCAGCGUGUGAAGAGCUGCCCAGUGUUGCAACAGGAGUACCCAGGGCUACAGCUAUGCAACUGUUUAAGAUGAGUUUUCUUACCUGGGGUGAUCAAGAGAGCAAGCGAGAAAAGAGCCAACAGAAGGAAUAUCU